UUAUCUAUCUCAGGCUUUGAGAAUUCAAGAAUUCUAUGAUGUGAUUCUUUAUUUCUUAGAAUGACAUUGUAGGGUAGGUGUGAGACACCGGAUCUGGCUGGCUUGAAC